rnacentral:lncRNA from 11 species
AAGAUUGUUGUCAGGUUUUUUAAAAAUAAAUCCGGCCUUGCGAUGUGAUUUCUAAUUCUCUCAAAUGACUGGUUUUUAGAAACCUUCAGCGGAAACUUGCUCAGAGUUGAAGGAAGUGCUUGAUCCCAAAGUAUCCAGCACAUCAGAAGCACAGAUUCUCAUCAAAAACUUUGAAAGGCAUUUGGAACCUCUGUGCGCCAGAUUUCAAGAGGCUUUGCAGCUUUAUGACCAGGUAAGACGGGAGGAAGGCAGGAAGACGUGCUAACUCUGCAGAGACUUAAAACUAUUCUAUAAUACUAGUGUUGAA